rnacentral:lncRNA from 1 species
UAUGUAAGAUAAGAAAUACACUAGAAUAAUAUAAGUGCUAUAGUGCUCCAAACUAAAAAAUAAUACUAAAAAAUAAUACGAACAAUAACACUAGAAUAAUAUAAGUGCUAGAGUGCUCCAAACUAAAAAAUAAUACUAAAAAAAUAAUACGGACAAUAACACUAGAAUAAUGUACUAGCACAAUAUAUUUCAUAACAAUUCAAAACACUACAAUUCAUAAUAUACUAGAAUAAUAUACUAAAAAGUCUUUUAAGCCAAGUAAUAUAUUAGAAUAAUAUACUAAAAAAUAAUACUAAAUAAUAAUACUAGAAUAAUAGUAUAAACAAUAAUAGUAUAUGUAUACACU